rnacentral:rRNA from 1 species
UACGUAGGGGGCAAGCGUUGUCCGGAUUUAUUGGGCGUAAAGAGCGUGUAGGCGGCCAGACAGGUCCGUUGUGAAAACUCGAGGCUCAACCUCGAGAUGUCGAUGGAAACCGUCUGGCUAGAGUCCGGAAGAGGAGUGUGGAAUUCCUGGUGUAGCGGUGAAAUGCGCAGAUAUCAAGGAAGAACACCUAUGGCGAAGGCAGCACUCUGGGACGGUACUGACGCUGAGACGCGAAAGCGUGGGGAGCGAACAGG